GUCCUGUGUAGCCCCUUUCUGUGCCAGAGCACACCCAGACUUUUCUCUUCCAGCCUGGGGCUCAUCGUCUGAGGGCAGGGCUGCCUUUAAGACAUCGUGGGGUUCGGCCACCCCAGUGCAAGCUGCCCCCACCACGGCCCCUCUUCAGGCCCAGGGGUGAAUGGCUGCUUGUACCAGGACCUGCCUCUUCUGGACAUUUCGUAUAAAUGGAAUCGUGUAAUAUGUGGCCUUUCGAGCUGGGCUUCCUUCACUCAACGUCAUGUUUCCAAGAUCCAUCCCCAUUGAAGCUGGUGUCGGAGCCUCACUGCUUUCUGCGGGUGGGCUGGACCUGGUGACUUGCUUCUACCUGAUAGAAUACAGCAAGAGUGAUGAGAUGUCACUUCCGAGAUUAGGUUGGACGGAUGGUGACUUCCAGCUUGUUAGUCUUCUCUCGGGCUCUUCUUGUUUGCUUGCUCUGGUGAAGCCAGCCACCAUAUGGUGAGUUGCCCUGUGGAGAGGCCCAUAUGGCAGGGAGCUGAGGGAGGCCUUUGGGUAACAGCCUCUGAGAAACUGAGGCCCUCAGUUCAGUAGCUAGUGAAGAGCUCAAUCCAGCCCACAGCCACUGAGCAAGCUUGGAAGAGGACCCUUCCCUGGGGCAGCUUUGUGCUAUUGUAAUAUAAUAAAGAGUGUAUAUCUGGUUUUCAUCUAGGGUUCCUGGCAUAGAGUUUCUAAAACCACUGGAAUUUCCUAAGUAAAAGGGGUGAGAGAAGUGUCUUUUGUUACUCAUAAUAAGCCCCCUUCAACCAUACUUGAGUUUAUUCUAAUGAGGUGACUCAUGGAGGUUGGGGGCUGGUAGCCAGAGGAACCAACCACGUGAUUGAGGGUUGCAACUUUCAGCCUCACCCCCAACCUCCAGGGAGGAGAGAGGGGCCAGAGAUUGAGUUCAAUCACCCAUGGCCAAUGAUUCAGCCAAGCAUGACUAUGUGAUGGAACCUCCAUAAAAACAUUGGGUCUCAUGAGAACAACAGAAUACAGAGAGCUGGUUUGGUGGACAUAUGGAGGCUCUGGGAGGGUGGUGGGCCCAGAGAGGGCAUGGAGCCCCUCUCCCAUACCUCGAUUAUACAUCUCUUCGAUUUGGCUUUUCCUGAGUUGUAUCCAUUAUAAUAAACUGGUAAUGGUAUGUAGAUUGUUUUCCUGAGUUCUAUGAGCCAUUCUAGCAAAUUAUUUAACUUGAGGAGGAGAUUGUGGGAACCUUCAAUGUAUAGCUGGUCUGUCAUUAGUGCAGGAGGCCCUGGACUUUCAACUGACAUCUGAAGUGGAGGCAGUCUUGUGGGAUCCCUUAACAUGUGGGAUCUGCAUUAACUCCAGGAAGAUAGUGUCAGAAUUAAAUGGAAUUGUAGAACACUCACUUGGCGUCCAG
rnacentral:lncRNA from 10 species